rnacentral:rRNA from 1 species
AUUGAACGCUGGCGGCAGGCCUAACACAUGCAAGUCGAGCGGAUGAAGGGAGCUUGCUCCUGGAUUCAGCGGCGGACGGGUGAGUAAUGCCUAGGAAUCUGCCUGGUAGUGGGGGACAACGUUUCGAAAGGAACGCUAAUACCGCAUACGUCCUACGGGAGAAAGCAGGGGACCUUCGGGCCUUGCGCUAUCGGCUGAGCCUAGGUCGGAUUAGCUAGUUGGUGAGGUAAUGGCUCACCAAGGCGACGAUCCGUAACUGGUCUGAGAGGAUGAUCAGUCACACUGGAACUGGGACACGGUCCAGACUCCUACGGGAGGCAGCAGUGGGGAAUAUUGGACAAUGGGCGAAAGCCUGAUCCAGCCAUGCCGCGUGUGUGAAGAAGGUCUUCGGAUUGUAAAGCACUUUAAGUUGGGAGGAAGGGUUGUAGAUUAAUACUCUGCAAUUUUGACGUUACCGACAGAAUAAGCACCGGCUAACUCUGUGCCAGCCGCCGCAGUAAUAC